rnacentral:rRNA from 1 species
UACGUAGGGGGCGAGCGUUGUCCGGAUUUAUUGGGCGUAAAGAGCUCGUAGGCGGCUUGUCGCGUCGACUGUGAAAACUUGGGGCUCAACCCCAAGCUUGCAGUCGAUACGGGCAGGCUAGAGUUCGGUAGGGGAGACUGGAAUUCCUGGUGUAGCGGUGAAAUGCGCAGAUAUCAGGAGGAACACCGAUGGCGAAGGCAGGUCUCUGGGCCGAUACUGACGCUGAGGAGCGAAAGCGUGGGGAGCAAACAGG